rnacentral:rRNA from 1 species
AUCGAUGAAGAACGCAGCGAAAAGCGAUAUGUAAUGUGAAUUGCAGAUCUACAGUGAUUCAUCGAAUCUUAGAACGCACCUUGCGCUCCUCGGUGUUCCGAGGAGCAWGCCUGGUCGAGUGUCAKUA